GGAGAAGUAUUUUUUAUUUAAAUUCAUCAAAUUCGAUUAAAACGGAGCAGAGAUUGGAAUUCAAUGCCUCAAUAUAUCAUUUUUUGCUCGCAUUUCUUCCUCCACUCUUCAUACAAACUCAAAAAUAAUGAUUUAAUUAUUGCUUGCAGCGAAUACCUCUGAAUGCUGACAAAACAGAAAAACACGUAAAUAUCAGGUUACUUUUUGUUCGUUUCGUUUCGAUUCGUGGCAAAGUUACAACAACCACAAAUGUAGCAACAAAAAUUUAUUGAUGAAAUAAUUAUCAUUAUUGAAGAAAUAACACGCCAGCUUUUCCUGCGAAAACGAAGCAGUGUGAUGUGGUUUGAUUUUUGCCCUGCAACCGCUAUGUUUGUCUUUACAGUCGUUAAUGUGAACCGAGGAGUAAUUAUGAUGCGAGGAAAAUUUGUGUGACUAAAAUGCGAAAUGCACGAGUUUUAACGCUUCGUUUGCGCAAAAUGCACGAUUCAUCUAGAAGAUUUGAGGAUUUUGCAAAGAGUUGGAGAUGACAAUCGAUGUCGUUAAAGCUUCUUUUUUUUCGUUAACAAUCUCCUUUUGUACGUGAAAUUGUUGCAUGAACAUAGUUCGCGCAAAUAUUUACUUUAUCAAUUUAUUAACAUUCAAUGGCUUGUCUUGUAUAAUAGUUGUGGCACGUAAGACACCAUUAACGCAGCAUGAAUGGCACUAAAAUAAUGCAUUUUAAAUUGCAAAAUAAUUUGUACCUUUUACAUCAGGAAAGAAAGAUGAAAGAAAAAAAUCAUUUACAAAACACAACAAUCAAGUUAUUAAAAAAAAUUGAAUGAGAUGGGAAAGUUUCGGCAUUGCCACACCGAAGCACAGCAAACCGCACUAUUUAAUACGCGACGAAUGAAAAUAAAAAUGAGACAACCAAUAUAAAAAUUACGUACAUUGUAUAACGUCCGAGCAUUGUAUUAUGCUUUUUUUCUGUUUUUGUUGCACGAUGACGACACGACGAAUACGUCGUCGUAGGUAUUAAACUUUUUGUAUAUUGUAUAUUUUAAGAGGCGAUUGUACUGAAAUGUACACAGAAAAUGAAAGACACGGCAAAAGGUGCUCCCACACGUCUGAUUCGCUUCACCGCUGAGUUACUACUAACAACAACUGUUGCUGCUCUCCGGAAAAUACCUUGCUUUUUUACCUUUUUGUACAGAGAGUGUGGGCCUGUAACAUAGAGGUGUGCUAUCCUAUUGGAAGAAAAAUUAAUUUUAUGAAUUUUUCGAGCACGCUUUUUUAGAAAAAAAUGCAAUGAAAAAUUGGUUACGUUGGCAAGUUCACAAAAAUAUUCAAUAUUUCACAGAAACAAGUUACAAAGUUAUGUUGUUAAACAGCCGGAGGCAUCCUUUCCAUAUAAUCAUUUUAAAACAAAAAUCAAUCCUUGUUCUCGCUUGCCGCUAACUCACUUUUAAUCCCAGUGUUUACAUCUGAAAACUGGUUUCACGUACCUCGGAACAUAUGUACGUCAACAACAACAACAACAACAAAAGAGCAGUAUAAACGCUUUUAAUUUGAGUUAAGUAAAGUCAACACUCUUGACUCACUUUUAUUGUUCCUUCAUUCCACGGAUUUUCGUCUCUCUCUCCGCGUUUGUUCUCUUCAUUCUUACGUUCGUUUGAAGAGAA